GCCAUGGUAACUUGCUGCCGCUGUGCAGUGCGGGUAGACCGGUGGUUGCGCCGCCACGUUUUGCGCCUCGUGGGUUGCCUCUGCCCGGGCUGAGGACCGCGCUGCCGCACGUCGACCGAUGGCCGCCACCGCGGAGCCGCGAGACACCGUGUUUGCUGCCGGGCGUUGCCAUGCCGGGCAUCGGCCGUUGGCCACUGCCACCGCUGUGUGUUACGCACCUGGCCACCUCAUCGAAAAAGAUGCAGGCCCGGAGUGCAUCCUCUGGCACGCCGGGGCCGUGGUCCACGGCCGCCUCAGGGUGCAGCGCUGGGAGCAGCCGGGCCGAAGGAUGUCGCCGCUCCGCGAGGAGCUUAGCCGAGGGAAACAUAGUCCGGGCCAUGGGUCGCUGCCGAAGUUUGCUUUGGACGACAUUAAAAACAAUGCCCUAGAGGUUAGUAUAACGAAAUCGGAAUUGAAUCACCUGAUUGAUGUAUGAUGCAGAGUUGGUCUUUGCAUUAUUGUCAUUUUGUUGGAGAUGUGUCCCAGGGAUCUUGUAUGUUUUUUUUCUGAUCCCCUUGCCGUUCUAAUGUUCUUGACCUUUCUCUGAAUUUUGUGCUUUCUUUCUCUAUGCAUCUGGUUUCUUCCCUGAUCGAGAGACUCGCAGCGCCUGCGCCUAUGCUGCGAACGCCUCGGGUUGAUGCGGGAGGUCGAGGCCACGCAACCACACGCCGUCUGGAUGUUUUGCUGAUGGUAGUUGCGAUGGACGACGAGACUGUCAGGAUGGACGAUGGAGAAGGGGGAAAAUGUGAACAACAAGUCUGUUGGAAAGCAUGUCCAUCGAUUCUUGCCAUGGAAGGGUUAUGGUUGAUUGAAUCCCGCUGGAUGGAGUCGUCAUCGCGAGUACAGAGGCAGACGCUGGCGCUGCCGUGACUAAUGUCGCCAUCCGUGCCAAGACUCGUUGCUGCAGUCCGCCGCGCGAGAUAAAGCCGGCAGUGCUGGGAAUCGCCCGAGGCGUCAAGUAGGUCUGGCCUAAUCGUUGUGUUAGGGCAAGGUGCUGAUAACGUGUGAAAGUAAAAACGAGAUAGGGAGCAAAUGAUGGAACAGUUACUUUCAUUGAUGAAGUUUGUGGUAUAUAUACCCGGAUACAAAGACGGUUGCCAAGAGCGGUUGCCAAUAGCGGAACCGACAUAAGCAGGGAUUAUCCCUUUAAUUAAAUUAAUUAAUCAAUUCCUAACAGCCCACUUGCCAUUGUGUGCUGUCAUCGUCUUCCUCCAGAUGGUAGUCGA